rnacentral:lncRNA from 1 species
GUAAACAGAAACCAAAUUUUGCCCCUUCACAUAGCAGUCUAAACGGGAGAAGCCGAGAUGUACCUAGACACUGUAUAUAGCUAUAUCUUCUCCACUUUCAAUGCAUUGAUUUUCAGUUUGUAAAUCAGAGUAUCCCUCUAUUGGGGUAAUUAACAACCAGAUUCGCUGUCUGAGGACCUAUAGUACAUUCUUCUCCAAGGGCAAUUUCUUUCUUCUUUUUUUUUGUGGUUCGGCUGGAGUUCAAAUUCAUUAGGAAGAUGUUUUUUCACAAACAAAAAUCAGAUACUUCUACAAUCACCUUAGGGCCUGUUUGGGAGAACCCGAACCCACUCCACCCCUUGUGAGCAUGAUGUGGAAGUGGUGUUCAUCCAAAAUGGACAACACAACCUCCACAUGUUCCUUGUGUCGCUCAAUGGGUUGAGAAGGAACCAAAAUAUUAUCAAAGGAACUAAACGAUUGGUGGUUAUCUAUGUCAAUGAUUUUUUUUGUUUCUUCUUCUUCUUUCCCCCCUCUUGUAGCUGGCCAUCUUGCCAAGAUAGAAUUGAACCCCUGUGCCUCAAAAGUCGAAGCAUACAAAAAAAAAUCUAGAUGUCCUCUAGUU